GACGAACGCUGGCGGCGUGCUUAACACAUGCAAGUCGAACGGAAAGGCCCUGCUUUUGUGGGGUGCUCGAGUGGCGAACGGGUGAGUAACACGUGAGUAACCUGCCCUUGACUUUGGGAUAACUUCAGGAAACUGGGGCUAAUACCGGAUAGGAGCUCCUGCUGCAUGGUGGGGGUUGGAAAGUUUCGGCGGUUGGGGAUGGACUCGCGGCUUAUCAGCUUGUUGGUGGGGUAGUGGCUUACCAAGGCUUUGACGGGUAGCCGGCCUGAGAGGGUGACCGGCUACAUUGGGACUGAGAUACGGCCCAGACUCCUACGGGAGGCAGCAGUGGGGAAUAUUGCACAAUGGGCGGAAGCCUGAUGCAGCAACGCCGCGUGCGGGAUGACGGCCUUCGGGUUGUAAACCGCUUUCGCCUGUGACGAAGCGUGAGUGACGGUAAUGGGUAAAGAAGCACCGGCUAACUACGUGCCAGCAGCCGCGGUGAUACGUAGGGUGCGAGCGUUGUCCGGAUUUAUUGGGCGUAAAGGGCUCGUAGGUGGUUGAUCGCGUCGGAAGUGUAAUCUUGGGGCUUAACCCUGAGCGUGCUUUCGAUACGGGUUGACUUGAGGAAGGUAGGGGAGAAUGGAAUUCCUGGUGGAGCGGUGGAAUGCGCAGAUAUCAGGAGGAACACCAGUGGCGAAGGCGGUUCUCUGGGCCUUUCCUGACGCUGAGGAGCGAAAGCGUGGGGAGCGAACAGGCUUAGAUACCCUGGUAGUCCACGCUGUAAACGGUGGGUACUAGGUGUGGGGUCCAUUCCACGGGUUCCGUGCCGUAGCUAACGCUUUAAGUACCCCGCCUGGGGAGUACGGCCGCAAGGCUAAAACUCAAAGGAAUUGACGGGGCCCCGCACAAGCGGCGGAGCAUGCGGAUUAAUUCGAUGCAACGCGUAGAACCUUACCUGGGUUUGACAUGGAUCGGGAGUGCUCAGAGAUGGGUGUGCCUCUUUUGGGGUCGGUUCACAGGUGGUGCAUGGCUGUCGUCAGCUCGUGUCGUGAGAUGUUGGGUUAAGUCCCGCAACGAGCGCAACCCUUGUUCACUGUUGCCAGCACGUUAUGGUGGGGACUCAGUGGAGACCGCCGGGGUCAACUCGGAGGAAGGUGGGGAUGACGUCAAGUCAUCAUGCCCCUUAUGUCCAGGGCUUCACGCAUGCUACAAUGGCUGGUACAGAGAGUGGCGAGCCUGUGAGGGUGAGCGAAUCUCGGAAAGCCGGUCUCAGUUCGGAUUGGGGUCUGCAACUCGACCUCAUGAAGUCGGAGUCGCUAGUAAUCGCAGAUCAGCAACGCUGCGGUGAAUACGUUCCCGGG
rnacentral:rRNA from 1 species